rnacentral:rRNA from 1 species
AACGAACGCUGGCGGCAGGCCUAACACAUGCAAGUCGAGCGAAGCCUUCGGGCUUAGCGGCGGACGGGUGAGUAACGCGUGGGAACGUGCCCUUUGGUACGGAAUAGCCCCGGGAAACUGGGAGUAAUACCAUAUGUGGUCGAGAGACGAAAGAUUUAUCGCCAAAGGAUCGGCCCGCGUUGGAUUAGGUAGUUGGUGGGGUAAUGGCCUACCAAGCCGACGAUCCAUAGCUGGUUUGAGAGGAUGGUCAGCCACACUGGGACUGAGACACGGCCCAGACUCCUACGGGAGGCAGCAGUGGGGAAUCUUAGACAAUGGGGGAAACCCUGAUCUAGCCAUGCCGCGUGAUCGAUGAAGGCCUUAGGGUUGUAAAGAUCUUUCAGUGGGGAAGAUAAUGACUGUACCCACAGAAGAAGCCCCGGCUAACUCCGUGCCAGCCGCCGCGUAACAC